GUCCAGGGAUCCAGUGAGAGACACAGAAGUGCUAGAAGCCACUCCUCGUGAACUAAGGAGAAAAAGAACAGACAAGGGAACACCCUGGACAUGGCAUCAGAGAUUCACAUGACAGGCCCAAUGUGCCUCAUUGAGAACACUAAUGGGCGACUGAUGGCGAAUCCAGAAGCUCUGAAGAUCCUUUCUGCCAUUACGCAGCCUAUGGUGGUGGUGGCAAUUGUGGGCCUCUACCGCACAGGCAAAUCCUACCUGAUGAACAAGCUGGCUGGAAAGAAAAAGGGUGAGUGGCAUGAGCAAAGCUCUGCCAAGUCCCUUCUGUCCAUCUACACAGUCAGCCUCUAUUAUGAGGAUGUGAGGAGAGAAAGAGAUGAGGAUGAAUACUGAAAGCUAACUUUCCAUUCACAGUCGGGCUCCUUAUCUUCAUGCUGUUCUAGGGGAUAAGAAUCAAUUCAUUAAUUAUUCCCAUGAUACCUUAGUUUCCAUUUCAAAAGCACAAAUUAUGCCUCUCCUAAAAGGAGUAAGACAGUAAUAAAAAUAAUUAAUGUACAUAAUAAUAACUAUAAUAAACUAUACAAUGUUUAUUACAAUUUUUAUGCAAUAACAGAGUUCACAGUGAUC
rnacentral:sRNA from 1 species